rnacentral:sRNA from 1 species
UUAUUGCAGCCCGACUUGAGCGGAAAUCCUUUUUUGCCAAUACUGGAUUUCUAUUGAUAGUGAAAUCUCGUGGCGAAAAAGAUUGGGAGCGGAAGGCGGAAAUAGCU